rnacentral:lncRNA from 1 species
GUAUGAUAAUUAACAGAAGUUUCUUAAAAAUGCAACUCAUGGCAUAUCUUUAUGUCGCAGGUCCAUCUUUAGGAGUGAUCGCACUUUUCGCUUUAGGUUACAUGAUUAGGAAAACAAUCAAGAACUGCCGUAGGGUAAGUGGACAUAAACAAAUAUUACGAUUAAAAAAAGAUUUGGUUAUAUCAUAGAUGUAUUACAUCUAUGGUUAUAUGCUUUUAUCUGUAAAUAAUUUGUUCUGUAAGUUAUCGACCGUAAAAGUCGAACUAGCUUUUCACUGUUCCAAACUAAUUCUGUAAAUAUUUUGAUAUCGUGAAAUAUUGAUGGUCAUGAUAUACUAGAACAAAGCAAAGGUAGUACCAGAGACAUGUGUAUAUAUGUCUCUGGUAGUACGAGAGACUUAUUUGCUCACUUUUCUCUCAUUCCAAAGUAUUGAAAAACAUUGUUCAAAAUCACGAUCGGAACAAUUAUAGUUGCGAAUGGGGUCUCAGUAAUAACAAACUUUCUAUUACCAUCUUUAAUAACUUGUCAAUAAUUGUAAAUUAUUGAAUACUGUGUCCUUUGAUUCUCGAUUAUUACGAAAGGAGAUUCGAACCACUGUGUUUAUCAUUUUUUAUAGAUUAUAACGUGUAUGUAUAUUUUGAUCAAGAUAUAUAACAUUUAUCUUGCAAGUAUGUCGAUUUAUGACUGACAAUAUUUUAUAAACUAGUCAACAAAAGAAACGAUACAAGGCAAUGCAUUUUCUAUAUUGUAAGUCCUUGUAAUGGCCGGAUAAUGCUGUAUGAAAGGCCGUUCGUGCCAAAAUUCCUAUAAGUAAUGCGUUAACAUUUAACGCGAUAAAAUCACAUUUAACACGAAAAUUACAGUUUAAACGAGUUACAACAAUUUUUAAUGCUUUAUCUUAUUAUUCAAACACUGAACUACACAAAAUGAUCAAACAACUUUUUUUAAUGCGUCAGAUUACUAAAUGAAACGGCCACAUGUGUCAUUUUUUGUGAUACUUUUUACAGAUUUUCAGCCUAUAUAAAUAUUAUCACACGUACAUGUAUCAUAGUUAUAAAUUAUCGAAUUGGUCAAUCAUUACGUACAUUGGGGACAUAUACUUGCCUCCCCAUGCCGCUAAAGGUAUAUUUGCUUGAAAGAGCAACACAAAACUAUCUAUUUCUAUAGCAUCUUAUUUCAAAGAGACAGAUAACAUCACAUGAGAAAUAUAAAAUUGAGAAUGGAAAUGGGAAAUGUGUCAAAGGGACAACAAUCCGAACAUAGAACAGACAACAACAUCAUUACUAUACAUAUAUCAACAGAAUAUUAUCCGGGAGUUAUUUUCGUAUAAAUCAAAACCAUUGUACGCGUUUUUUUUGCAAUUAAAAUCGUAUUUUCACCCCAAAAUAUCAAAGUCGAUAUUGGAACAUAAACGCAAAUAGUGUCUGCUUAUAAUUGUGAAUUGUGAAAUAAUUUGCCGACUUAUGUCAUAUUUUUUUCUCGAAAUAAACUUGACUCCUAGCUGUGUUCAAAGUACAGUAUUUUGUCGCUUUCCAAUUCUGUCAGACUCUUUUAAUCAUAUGCAUUUGCUGUGGAAAUGAAUGGUGUUUUUUUUAUUUUUAAUUAUUUUAUGAUAAAUCGAAGUUCAAACUUGUGUAUCGUUACUUAUGUUGACUAGUAUAUCAAAUGAAAAUAUUUAAAAAAAAGGCACGAGGAUUGCAAAAUGAAUCUUAACUUUUUGCUUUCCUUUAUAUAUAAUCUUAUUAUAUUGAUAGUGAAAUCAUACAAAAAGAAUCAUCAAUAAACAUCCGAUUGCAAUAAUCAUUCCUGAGUUACAUCAAUAAGUACAAAUGAUGAUAUACAUGUAUAUAGUCAAAGCUGACAAACACAAAAAAGAGUCAUGAAUUAAGGGGUCUAUUAACUUUAAACAAUUUUUUUUCCAUGUGAACCGAGUAAAAUUUAACCAAACUAUGGAUACAAUUAUCAUUCCAAUGUGUAUUGAGUUUGAAAAUGUGUCCGGUGAUCCCAACCUGCUAAUAGGCCGACAUGCCGACAUGUCUAGAAAUAGGACAUAAGUGUUUUGUCUAUUUUAGAAUCAUUUUAAUAGAAAACAAAUGAUAAAUGGAAAAUUAAAUAGCAAACAUGACCAGCAAGACAGUUUCUGCUAAUAUGCUAAUAUGACAACAGAAAUCGCUAGAAAGGAGUGGUUUCCCUUAAAUGUUUGAGUUUUCAGAUAAACUAAAGAAAAACAAGAGAAAUUCUAAACAGAAAAAUAUCAGAGAUACAGUAGCAACACAAAAGACAUUUUUGUCAUGAAUUCUAUUCCAGUCAACAAUCUUUAUUGUUAGACAUGAUACAUGUUGUCCUAAGUGAGCGACACAAACUGUUGAUGUAUUGUUACCAGUAUUUAUGCCCCACCUACGAUAGCAGAGGGGCAUUAUCUUUUCUGGUAUGUGGCUCCGUCCGUUCGUUCGUUCGUUCGUCGUGGUCAAGGUAGUUUUCGAUGAAGCUGAAGUCCAAUCAACUAGAGACUUAGCACACUUGUUGCUUAUGAUAUGACCUUUCUAAUUUUAAAGCCAAAUUAGACUUUUGACCCUAAUUUCACGGUCAACUGAACAUAGAAAAUGAAAAUGGGAGUUUCAGGUUAAAGUUUUUGGUCAAGGUAGUUUUUGACGAAGCUGAAGUCCAAUCAACUUGCAACUUAGUAGACUUGCUGCUUAUGAUAUGAUCUUUCUAAUUUUAAAGCCAAUAUCACGGUUCAUUGAACAUGGAAAAUGAUAGUGCCAGUGGGGCAUCCGUGUACUUUGGACACAUUCUUGUUUUUCUUAUGCGUUUAAAGUGACAUUCUUUAUCAUUGUUUCUUAGUAUCAAUCAGUCAACUAAAUUACAUCAAGGAACUGUCGAAAAUGUUUUUAAAUCCUUCGAAAUCGAUGGAAAUUGAUAAUUAACGAAUAUCAAUGAACCAUAGCAAGUUAUUGAAUCCAGAAAUCUUUAUAUAUCUGCUUUGGAAUAUCUAAAGCUUAAAUGUUUUAUUUAGACAUCUGUGUGCAUUUACGAUUAUUUAACAAAUAAUUAUCAUCUUAUUAUUAUGUUUUUAAAAUGAUUGUCACAUUUUGCAUCGGAUUUAUUGUCUCAAUGUUUAUGCUUUUUAUAUGAAUCUAUUAAUUAAGCUGAGCAUCGUAUUUUACGUUUGAUAAACGUUUCCAGGGGUCAUCAGACAAAGAGGAAUCGACUGAAAAAUCUCAAGAAAAUUCGGUAAUAUAUGAAGUCGAAGCUG